GAGGUGGGAGGAUCACUUGAGCUCAGGAGUUGGAGGCUGCAGCAAACUGUGAUCAUACCACUGCACUCCAGCCUGGGUGACAGAGCAAG
rnacentral:miRNA from 1 species